UACGUAGGGUGCGAGCGUUAAUCGGAAUUACUGGGCGUAAAGCGUGCGCAGGCGGUUUUGUAAGCCCGGCGUGAAAUCCCCGGGCUUAACCUGGGAAUGGCGUUUGGGACUGCAAGGCUGGAGUACGGCAGAGGGGACUAGAAUUUCUGGUGUAGCAGUGAAAUGCGUAGAUAUCAGGAGGAAUACCGAUGGCGAAGGCAGGUCCCUGGGCUGAUACUGACGCUCAUGCACGAAAGCGUCGGGAGCAAACAGG
rnacentral:rRNA from 1 species